rnacentral:rRNA from 1 species
AGAGUUUGAUCCUGGCUCAGAUUGAACGCUGGCGGCAUGCCUUACACAUGCAAGUCGAACGGCAGCAUGAUCUAGCUUGCUAGAUUGAUGGCGAGUGGCGAACGGGUGAGUAAUACAUCGGAACGUGCCCUGUAGUGGGGGAUAACUAGUCGAAAGAUUAGCUAAUACCGCAUACGACCUGAGGGUGAAAGUGGGGGACCGCAAGGCCUCAUGCUAUAGGAGCGGCCGAUGUCUGAUUAGCUAGUUGGUGAGGUAAAGGCUCACCAAGGCGACGAUCAGUAGCUGGUCUGAGAGGACGAUCAGCCACACUGGGACUGAGACACGGCCCAGACUCCUACGGGAGGCAGCAGUGGGGAAUUUUGGACAAUGGGGGCAACCCUGAUCCAGCAAUGCCGCGUGUGUGAAGAAGGCCUUCGGGUUGUAAAGCACUUUUGUCCGGAAAGAAAUCGCACUUACUAAUAUUAGGUGUGGAUGACGGUACCGGAAGAAUAAGGACCGGCUAACUACGUGCCAGCAGCCGCGGUAAU